rnacentral:rRNA from 1 species
GACGAACGCUGGCGGCGUGCUUAACACAUGCCAGUCGAACGGAAAGGCCCUGCUUUUGUGGGGUGCUCGAGUGGCGAACGGGUGAGUAACACGUGAGUAACCUGCCCUUGACUUUGGGAUAACUUCAGGAAACUGGGGCUAAUAUCGGAUAGGAGAUCCUGCUGCAUGGUGGGGGUUGGAAAGUUUCGGCGGUUGGGGAUGGACUCGCGGCUUAUCAGCUUGUUGGUGGGGGAGUGGCUGACCAAGGCUUUGACGGGUAGCCGGCCUGAGAGGGUGACCGGCCACAUUGGGACUGAGAUACGGCCCAGACUCCUACGGGAGGCAGCAGUGGGGAAUAUUGCACAAUGGGCGGAAGCCUGAUGCAGCAACGCCGCGUGCGGGAUGACGGCCUUCGGGUUGUAAACCGCUUUCGCCUGUAACGAAGCGUGAGUGACGGUAAUGGGUAAAGAAGCACCGGCUAACUACGUG